rnacentral:rRNA from 1 species
ACGGGUGAGUAAUGUCUGGGAAACUGCCUGAUGGAGGGGGAUAACUACUGGAAACGGUAGCUAAUACCGCAUGACCUCGCAAGAGCAAAGUGGGGGACCUUCGGGCCUCACGCCAUCGGAUGUGCCUAGGUCGGAUUAGCUAGUAGGUGAGGUAAUGGCUCACCUAGGCGACGAUCCCUAGCUGGUCUGAGAGGAUGACCAGCCACACUGGAACUGAGACACGGUCCAGACUCCUACGGGAGGCAGCAGUGGGGAAUAUUGCACAAUGGGCGCAAGCCUGAUGCAGCCAUGCCGCGUGUGUGAAGAAGGCCUUAGGGUUGUAAAGCACUUUCAGCGAGGAGGAAGGGUUCAGUGUUAAUAGCACUGUGCAUUGACGUUACUCGCAGAAGAAGCACCGGCUAACUCCGUGCCAGCAGCCGCGGUAAUACGGAGGGUGCAAGCGUUAAUCGGAAUUACUGGGCGUAAAGCGCACGCAGGCGGUUUGUUAAGUCAGAUGUGAAAUCCCCGAGCUUAACUUGGGAACUGCAUUUGAAACUGGCAAGCUAGAGUCUUGUAGAGGGGGGUAGAAUUCCAGGUGUAGC